rnacentral:rRNA from 1 species
UACAGAGGUCUCAAGCGUUGUUCGGAUUCAUUGGGCGUAAAGGGUGUGUAGGUGGCGCGCUAAGUCGGGUGUGAAAUUUCGGAGCUUAACUCCGAAACUGCAUUCGAUACUGGCGUGCUUGAGGACUGGAGAGGAGACUGGAAUUCAUGGUGUAGCAGUGAAAUGCGUAGAGAUCAUGAGGAAGACCAGUGGCGAAGGCGGGUCUCUGGACAGUUACUGACACUGAGACACGAAAGCCAGGGGAGCAAACGGG